UCCUUGGGUAGUGCAGGAAGUGUGACUGAUCCAUUAGGUGGCCACCAUGGAGCUGAUACAUAAACUAUUGAUUGCUUAAAAGUCUAAAACAGUGAAACAAUUGCUCUUUUUAAUUAUGUUUUUAAAUUUAUUUUAUAAAGGAGUUCAAUAUGAUUUUGUUCUUUAAUGCCAGACCAUUUUUCAGCAGACUGCAGCUCUUGUCAAGAAAAGGAAAACAGAAAACGUCUAAUUUUAAGCUCUCAAAACAGGGAGUGCUGUUUUGAGCUCUCAGAAUUGUCAUCAGCCUGUUAUAUCCUUGUUCUAGAGGGACCUCAAAAUUCCUGAUACUUAUCCCUUUAGGCAUACAGUCUUCCCAUUUCCCCCAGGCCAUAUCCCCAUGCAAGUCUUGGGCAGGAAACCAAACCCAUCAGACUGAUAAAGAGAUUGCACUGUAUCAUUCCUUCUGCUGACUCAGAGUUUAUGAUGGCUGAGCUCAUAAUGAGGAAAUGUGAGAGAGAAAAUGGUGAUUCCUGUCAAGACCAGAACAUGGGCACAGCCUCAUUGUAGCUUGCAGAUCUAUGGGAUAAGGCUUCAUAAAUCACCAGUAUUUAGUAAUUGCUGACCCGGAACACUUGCCAAAACCCACAAACCACUCGGAACGUUGCAAUUUGUGAGACCUUACGAGCCACGUAAUAUUUUACAGUUCCUGAAGCUACUACCCAUCUUUGCAGAAAGAGAGAGAUUUUGAAAGGUAAGAUUGUACAUUGCGUACAAGGGAUUGUACGCAAUGGGCUAUUCCUGUCAUAAAACUUUAAUAGGAUCCUGUAGUCAGUCUGUAUUGCACGGAUUUGAUGAGUGGCAGUCUUGAUAAAAACAGAGGUGACAAUUUGGAUCUGUUUAUUUUGUAGUUGAAGAACCAUUUAUAACACAGUGGCGAGGCUAUGGUGAGACAAUUUCUAAAUUAUAUCCAGUGCCAAAAUCCAGUUGGACUGCAGUGGUAUUUUGGUGCCCAGGCAGCAGUGCUGAGUACCCACACAUAGCCCUUCUCUGUGUCACGAGGAUUCAUUUCUGGUUUUCAUCCAGCAGAGAUAGUCCAGUAAGAGGGAUGGUUUUCACACCAGGGUGAGAAAUGCAGGUUUUUAAAUCAUCCACAGGUUGAGCAGGGCCAAGCACUUGGUGGCUGAAGCCACAGAGUGCCCAGGCUGCCCUAACAGCUGUUUCUGGCCAUGAAACAAGGACAAGAUGAAAGUACAGCUAUCUGGGUGUCCCAGACGGAGAGCUGUGGCCACCCCUGAGUGGAUCAUGUCUGCCAGACUUUGGGAGUGGAAUGACCUGUAAAAGGAGUAGAGGAAACCCACAUGAAUUGUGACUAGAGAUGUCUCCUGAGCAACUGACAUGUAUGAUAGAAAUCUAAACUUAUACUUGGGUCACUGUGGAAAUCCCUGUGCACCUCAAGAUACACAUAAACCCAGUAUCGUUUAUGCAGAGUUUUUGUGCAAUCUCAGUUCUAACUUCCCCUUGAAUGUAAGAGAGGAAAUAGAAAACUGUUUUAGAAGGAAAAGAAAAAGCAGUUUAUACUAUGGGAAGUCUGAAUAGGAAGCUCCAGCUGACUGUUUACUAAGCUAAAUGCAACAUGGAAAAUUCAGUGUGUCAGGAAAAAUAACAUAGUUUUCUCUCCUGGUGGCAAGCAGCCAUGAUUGUUGUUACUGACAUGGUCAGCUAAUAUCAUCCUUCUGAUAUUACUAUAGAUGGAUAAAAUCACCAUGAGAACUACCCAGUACUGAAAAAUACACAUUUGUACUGGUUUUUCUCUCCUCAAUACAGUAAGGUCAGUUCUGAGCUAGGGCUGCAGGGCUGGGAGUGUAUCUGCAUGCUUCUGUGAAGUGUGGGGUGGUUCAAUGUUUACUGGACAAAUACAUGUGUCAGAAAGUGCCCUGCAUCCCUGCCUGGUACAGGCCAAUCCCUGGUAGGGAAAAGAUGAGCCCAGAUGAGACAAAUGCAACACGACCUACGCAUCUAAGAGAUGUUUUCUUAACAACCAGCUUUCUAGCACAGAAGAAGAGUGUUUCUCUCCAACCUUCUGUGUCUCUUCUGUGUCUGGAGAGAGGAGAGCUCUGAGAGUACAGCUGUGGAAUCUGAAUAGGAGAUAACAGUGCAAAUGUGUGUAGUGUACGUCUAAGCCCUGAUUUUCAAUACACAAUGAUUUUUUAAAAAAAGCUUAGUGCUGACUCUGAUGCCUUUUGCACUUCUAGUGCCUUUUCUCCUGCACGUUGCACAGCAGCAGCACAUUCUGGUGUCUGCUAUAAUAUGGGUAAUAACUCACAGUCAUGUGUUUCUGAUUUUCAUCAAAUGGAGCAACAAGUGGGGGGUAUGCUGCAGAGGUAAUGCAAAUUAUCUUUUAAAAUUGAUGGUAGAAGUGAUCCUGUAUCUCAGGAAGCAUGUCCAUGGAUUCUGUGAAGUGAGUUGGGUGGCAGAUAGAGGUGAGCUGGAAUUCAUUGGAAUAAUAGAGGUGAGAUAAUGGUGGGUAAUGUCCCAAGACUUACAGCAGGACUGAUGUUUCCAGGAAAUCCAGAGAGUCCAGCCUGGAGGCUGGAUCACAGAUAGGCAAAUAAACCAAGAGGAAUGAGAGCAAAACGGAUGAAUGUGACCUGCCUUGCAUCAUAGACCACCAGGGAAAGAAAGCCCUUGUAUGUCCCUGCUGAUAAUACAGCACUGAGCUUGUGAGAGACACCUGAACCAAUGGUAUGUAAGUAGAUGGAAGUUACAAACAUGAGAAAGAAUCUUAAAUAGGAUUAAAUGGAAAUGUAAAAUUACGUAAAGUGCAAUCUUUCUACUGAAAAAUAUAAAUUGCCUUGAGAAACAGGAAGAGUGGAAAGAGAAAUUAAGCAUGUUGAGUUUGGUU